AGGUGGGCCACCUUUCCCCAACGAGAGGCUGACUAUCUGAGAGGAUAGACUAU
rfam:Candidatus Tokpelaia hoelldoblerii isolate Hsal, complete genome.